UUUGGGAAAGAUAAGUUUAACUCUUAACAUUAAAUGUUAGUUACUACUUUUAUUACAAAGCAUAACUUUGGGGUUACUACUGUUUUCACCUUUUGUUUUCCCAGGGAAACAGUAUUGUCACUAUAUGAUAGCAAAGGCAUGUACAUUUAAUGGGCCUAUCCAACUGAAAUUGUUUUGUCUCCACCCAGUGAAAAUGUCAAAACACUGUGGACAAUCACAAAACAGAACAAAUAAUCCCCACCCAAGGGGUUUACAUGUAUCAUAUGAUAGAAUAUAAUACAUUACUAACUGAACAAAAUAUAAGCAAAGUAAAAUGAUCAUCUGUAUGCCUUUUCAAAAAUUAUUUUUGAAAAAAAAAAGCAAAUUUAUUUCAAUAUUCUACGUUGAAUAUUUACCCUUGAACUUGAUGUUCUUUUAGGCUUCACCUCUGGUGUAACUGGCACAAGCAUC
rnacentral:lncRNA from 1 species